AGCGAACGUUAGCGGCGGGCCUAACACAUGCAAGUCGAGCGAGAAAGGGCUUCGGCCUGAGUACAGCGGCGGACGGGUGAGGAACACGGAGGUAAUCUGCCCUUCAGUGGAGGACAACGGUCCGAAAGGACCGCUAAUACUGCACACGUUUCUCGGGUCCUCCGGCCUGGGCAGGAAAGCCUCGCAAGGGGCCGCGGGGGAGGAGCCUGCUGCGCGUCAGCUAGUUGGUGGGGUAACGGCCUACCAAGGCGAAGACGCGUAGCUGCGUCUGAGAGGAUGAUCAGCCACACUGGGACUGAGACACGGCCCAGACUCCUACGGGAGGCAGCAGUGGGGAAUAUUGGACAAUGGGGGAAACCCAGAUCCAGCCACGCCGCGUGAGUGAUGAAGGCCUUCGGGUCGUAAAGCUCUGUGGGGAGGGACGAACGUCCCCGUGAAGAACGGGGGGUGACGGUACCUCCUUAGCAAGCACCGGCUAACUUCGUGCCAGCCGCCGCCGUAACAC
rnacentral:rRNA from 1 species